rnacentral:tRNA from 1 species
AAAACGUUUCGACCACGGCAGGAUUCGAACCUGCAAUCUUCUGCUCCGUAGGCAGACGCGUUAUCCAUUGCGCCACGCGGCCACAUUUUC